AUUGAACGCUGGCGGCAGGCCUAACACAUGCAAGUCGAGCGCGCGGCGGACGGGUGAGUAAUGUCUGGGAAACUGCCUGAUGGAGGGGGGUAACUACUGUAAACGGUAGCUAAUACCGCAUACCAUCAGAUGUGCCCACAUGGGAUGAGCUAGUAGGGGGGGUAAAGGCUCACCGAGGCGACGAUCCCUAGCUGGGCUGAGAGGAUGACCAGCCACACUGGAACUGAGACACGGUCCAGACUCCUACGUGAGGCAGCAGUGGGGAAUAUUGCACAAUGGGCGCAAGCCUGAUGCAGCCAUGCCGCGUGUAUGAAGAAGGCCUUCGGGUUGUAAAGUACUUUCAGCGGGGAGGCGUUACCCGCAGAAGAAGCACCGGCUAACUCCGUGCCAGCCGCCGCGGUAAUAC
rnacentral:rRNA from 1 species